GACGAACGCUGGCGGCGUGCCUAAUACAUGCAAGUCGAGCGAGCGGAACCAACAGAUUUACUUCGGUAAUGACGUUGGGAAAGCGAGCGGCGGAUGGGUGAGUAACACGUGGGGAACCUGCCCCUAAGUCUGGGAUACCAUUUGGAAACAGGUGCUAAUACCGGAUAAUAAAGCAGAUCGCAUGAUCAGCUUUUGAAAGGCGGCGUAAGCUGUCGCUAAGGGAUGGCCCCGCGGUGCAUUAGCUAGUUGGUAAGGUAACGGCUUACCAAGGCGACGAUGCAUAGCCGAGUUGAGAGACUGAUCGGCCACAUUGGGACUGAGACACGGCCCAAACUCCUACGGGAGGCAGCAGUAGGGAAUCUUCCACAAUGGGUGAAAACCUGAUGGAGCAAUGCCGCGUGAAUGAAGAAGGUCUUCGGAUCGUAAAGUUCUGUUAUUAGAGAAGAACAAGUCAAGGAGUAACUGUCUUGGCUUUGACGGUACCUAACCAGAAAGUCACGGC
rnacentral:rRNA from 1 species